rnacentral:rRNA from 1 species
AGAGUUUGAUCCUGGCUCAGGAUGAACGCUGGCGGCGUGCCUAAUACAUGCAAGUCGAGCGAACGGACGAGAAGCUUGCUUCUCUGAUGUUAGCGGCGGACGGGUGAGUAACACGUGGAUAACCUACCUAUAAGACUGGGAUAACUUCGGGAAACCGGAGCUAAUACCGGAUAAUGUUUUGAACCGCAUGGUUCAAAAGUGAAAGACGGUCUUGCUGUCACUUAUAGAUGGAUCCGCGCUGCAUUAGCUAGUUGGUAAGGUAACGGCUUACCAAGGCAACGAUGCAUAGCCGACCUGAGAGGGUGAUCGGCCACACUGGAACUGAGACACGGUCCAGACUCCUACGGGAGGCAGCAGUAGGGAAUCUUCCGCAAUGGGCGAAAGCCUGACGGAGCAACGCCGCGUGAGUGAUGAAGGUCUUCGGAUCGUAAAACUCUGUUAUUAGGGAAGAACAUAUGUGUAAGUAACUGUGCACAUCUUGACGGUACCUAAUCAGAAAGCCACGGCUAACUACGUGCCAGCAGCCGCGGUAAUACGUAGGUGGCAAGCGUUAUCCGGAAUUAUUGGGCGUAAAGCGCGCGUAGGCGGUUUUUUAAGUCUGAUGUGAAAGCCCACGGCUCAACCGUGGAGGGUCAUUGGAAACUGGAAAACUUGAGUGCAGAAGAGGAAAGUGGAAUUCCAUGUGUAGCGGUGAAAUGCGCAGAGAUAUGGAGGAACACCAGUGGCGAAGGCGACUUUCUGGUCUGUAACUGACGCUGAUGUGCGAAAGCGUGGGGAUCAAACAGGAUUAGAUACCCUGGUAGUCCACGCCGUAAACGAUGAGUGCUAAGUGUUAGGGGGUUUCCGCCCCUUAGUGCUGCAGCUAACGCAUUAAGCACUCCGCCUGGGGAGUACGACCGCAAGGUUGAAACUCAAAGGAAUUGACGGGGACCCGCACAAGCGGUGGAGCAUGUGGUUUAAUUCGAAGCAACGCGAAGAACCUUACCAAAUCUUGACAUCCUUUGACAACUCUAGAGAUAGAGCCUUCCCCUUCGGGGGACAAAGUGACAGGUGGUGCAUGGUUGUCGUCAGCUCGUGUCGUGAGAUGUUGGGUUAAGUCCCGCAACGAGCGCAACCCUUAAGCUUAGUUGCCAUCAUUAAGCUGGGCACUCUAAGUUGACUGCCGGUGACAAACCGGAGGAAGGUGGGGAUGACGUCAAAUCAUCAUGCCCCUUAUGAUUUGGGCUACACACGUGCUACAAUGGACAAUACAAAGGGCAGCGAAACCGCGAGGUCAAGCAAAUCCCAUAAAGUUGUUCUCAGUUCGGAUUGUAGUCUGCAACUCGACUACAUGAAGCUGGAAUCGCUAGUAAUCGUAGAUCAGCAUGCUACGGUGAAUACGUUCCCGGGUCUUGUACACACCGCCCGUCACACCACGAGAGUUUGUAACACCCGAAGCCGGUGGAGUAACCUUUUAGGAGCUAGCCGUCGAAGGUGGGACAAAUGAUUGGGGUGAAGUCGUAACAAGGUAGCCGUAUCGGAAGGUGCGGCUGGAUCACCU